rnacentral:rRNA from 1 species
AUUGAACGCUGGCGGCAUGCUUUACACAUGCAAGUCGAGCGGCAGCGCGGGGGCAACCUUGGCGGCGAGCGGCGAACGGGUGAGUAAUGCAUCGGAACGUAUCCUGUAGUGGGGAAUAACUCACCGAAAGGUGAGCUAAUACCGCAUAAGCUCUGAGGAGGAAAAGCGGGGGGACCGAAAGGCCUCGCGCUGCAGGAGCGGCCGAUGUCCGAUUAGCUAGUUGGUGAGGUAAAGGCUCACCAAGGCGACGAUCGGUAGCUGGUCUGAGAGGAUGAUCAGCCACACUGGGACUGAGACACGGCCCAGACUCCUACGGAGGCAGCAGUGGGGAAUUUUGGACAAUGGGGAACCCUGAUCCAGCCAUGCCGCGUGAGUGAAGAAGGCCUUCGGGUUGUAAAGGUACU